rnacentral:rRNA from 1 species
AAUUCGCUAGAGAUAGCUUAGUGCCUUCGGGAACUCUGAGACAGGUGCUGCAUGGCUGUCGUCAGCUCGUGUUGUGAAAUGUUGGGUUAAGUCCCGCAACGAGCGCAACCCUUAUCCUUUGUUGCCAGCGAUUCGGUCGGGAACUCAAAGGAGACUGCCGGUGAUAAACCGGAGGAAGGUGGGGAUGACGUCAAGUCAUCAUGGCCCUUACGAGUAGGGCUACACACGUGCUACAAUGGCGUAUACAAAGAGAAGCGAACUCGCGAGAGCAAGCGGACCUCAUAAAGUACGUCGUAGUCCGGAUUGGAGUCUGCAACUCGACUCCAUGAAGUCGGAAUCGCUAGUAAUCGUAGAUCAGAAUGCUACGGUGAAUACGUUCCCGGGUCUUGUACACACCG